rnacentral:ncRNA from 19 species
UUAUCUUUGUCCCGAAUUGGUUUCGAAUGAAGACUUUCGUCAUUCGGAUUAAAAGGGAAUCGGGUGUAAAUCCCGGACAGUCCCGCUGCUGUGAAGCUUCAUCGAUAUCUUGAAACAAUCCUUUCGCCACUGACGUGGGGGGAAUACCUCCGUCGGGAAGGCUUCAAGAUUAGAAGUCAGUCAGAAGACCUGCCGUUCAUCAAAGGCUGUUU